ACCAAUUGGGUGGAUCGCUCGGCUCCUGCAUUGGUGAAGAAUGCAGCUAGCUGCGAGAAUUAAUGUGAAUUGGAGGACAUUGAUCCUCGACACUUGGAACUCCCUUGUGGCCCAGGGUCCCCCCAGGGGCUAUGCCUGUCUGAGCAUUG
ensembl:rRNA 5_8S_rRNA 5.8S ribosomal RNA